rnacentral:lncRNA from 1 species
CUCCCGGCCUCCUCUCAUGCACUGAGCCCAGAGGUGGGGAUUCAGCCUGAGCAAGUGGGGCAGGGCCCUGCAUCCCUUGCUCUGCUGGAGAUGACGCUGCAGGGUCGCUGGGGCUGACAUCUCUCAGGGGAUCCCUCUUUGCAGGCUCCGGUGGGUGAGCUGAAGUUUGUGUCACAGUGCCGAGCCAGGGGACUGGGUGCCCAGAGCUGUCUGCACUUGCUGCCUUGUCCUGCAGGGCAGCUGCCUGUGCUGCUGCUCCUG